UAGGGAAUCUUCGGCAAUGGACGAAAGUCUGACCGAGCAACGCCGCGUGAGCGAAGAAGGUUUUCGGAUCGUAAAACCCUGUUGUCAGAGAAGAACAAGGACGUUAGUAACUGAACGUCCCCUGACGGUAUCUAACCAGAAAGCCACGGCUAACUACGUGCCAGCAGCCGCGGUAAUACGUAGGUGGCAAGCGUUGUCCGGAUUUAUUGGGCGUAAAGCGAGCGCAGGCGGUUUCUUAAGGCUGAUGUGAAAGCCCCCGGCUCAACCGGGGAGGGUCAUUGGAAACUGGGAGACUUGAGUGCAGAAGAGGAGAGUGGAAUUCCAUGUGUAGCGGUGAAAUGCGUAGAUAUAUGGAGGAACACCAGUGGCGAAGGCGGCUCUCUGGUCUGUAACUGACGAUGAGGCUCGAAAGCGUGGGGAGCAAACAGG
rnacentral:rRNA from 1 species